rnacentral:rRNA from 1 species
GAUGAACGCUGGCGGCGUGCCUAAUACAUGCAAGUCGAGCGAACAGACGAGGAGCUUGCUCCUCUUACGUUAGCGGCGGACGGGUGAGUAACACGUGGAUAACCUACUUAUAAGACUGGGAUAACUUCGGGAAACCGGAGCUAAUACCGGAUAAUAUAUUGAACCGCAUGGUUCAAUAGUGAAAGACGGUUUUGCUGUCACUUAUAGAUGGAUCCGCGCCGCAUUAGCUAGUUGGUAAGGUAACGGCUUACCAAGGCAACGAUGCGUAGCCGACCUGAGAGGGUGAUCGGCCACACUGGAACUGAGACACGGUCCAGACUCCUACGGGAGGCAGCAGUAGGGAAUCUUCCGCAAUGGGCGAAAGCCUGACGGAGCAACGCCGCGUGAGUGAUGAAGGUCUUCGGAUCGUAAAACUCUGUUAUUAGGGAAGAACAAAUGUGUAAGUAACUAUGCACGUCUUGACGGUACCUAAUCAGAAAGCCACGGCUAACUACGUG